CAGAUGGGAAAUUAAUUUUGGUAAAAGAUUUUGCAGGUGAAAAUAAAAGAUUAUGAAGCAUGCAAUUCACAAAUGAGAAUAAGAAGAAGAAGAUGAACACAGUGAUGUACGUGGUUCGACUUAAAAUGCCCACAUCCACAGGAAGGGAAUAUUUUGAUUAAAAAAGCUACAAGAAGAUGAGUUGCUUUCUUUUUAUAGAUUUCUUUUGUUUUUCUAGUAUCAUAGUAAAUGUAAAAUAGUUAGAUAUGUAUAGUCCAUGGACUGUUAGAUAUAUUUUGUAAUCUGUUAAAAAAAAUAGGACCGUUGAGAUCAAAAUCUUCACAAAUCUCCACCUUGAUCUCAAUGCAUGUAGCUCUCUUCCUUCCAAAUCUGAUGUUGAACAUUUUUCAGGCAACUGAAAGCCAAUCAGCUCGAGACACAUAGUUAGCUUGAGCUUUGUAAUAGGCUUUAUAAGCAUGUCAGCAGCAUUCUCAGAGAGUUGAAAAUAGGCUGUAAUUGAAGAUCAAGCAAGCAAGGUCAGAAGCAAAACCUGCAGAAUAAGCCAUUGCCUUCGCAGCAUCGUGACGCUGUUCAUCCUGAAGCUUGAGGCACUGAAACACUGGGAUGGAGCGUUGCAACGUUGCUCAUCCUUGCCCAGAAACACACCCACAACAGGUCCAAUUCGCGGGAGUAAGCCAGUUCGAUCGGUUUUAACUACCAGGGGUCCGAUUAAGAACUUUCUGAAGCUUUGGAGGGUCGGUUUGGGCGGUCCGGUUCCUGUUCGAGCCGGUUCGAGUGGUCCAGAGGCACUUUGAAGCUGCAUUUUGUAUUGCUUUUGUAAUAAAUAGUUCAUUGCUUGCUUAAGAUGUCAAAAUUGAUCUAUAUCAGUGUUGUUUAAAUAUUUUAUGUAUGUGAUGUAUGUUAUAUUUAAAUUAAACAUGUAUGUGCAUAUUGUAUGCCAUGUAGAUUUUAAAUCCCACCAUA